rnacentral:rRNA from 2 species
AGACCCGAAACCCGGUGAUCUAGCCAUGGGCAGGUUGAAGGUUGGGUAACACUAACUGGAGGACCGAACCGACUAAUGUUGAAAAAUUAGCGGAUGACCUGUGGCUGGGGGUGAAAGGCCAAUCAAACCGGGAGAUAGCUGGUUCUCCCCGAAAGCUAUUUAGGUAGCGCCUCGUGAAUUCAUCUCCGGGGGUAGAGCACUGUUUCGGCUAGGGGGCCAUCCCGGCUUACCAACCCGAUGCAAACUGCGAAUACCGGAGAAUGUUAUCACGGGAGACACACGGCGGGUGCUAACGUCCGUCGUGAAGAGGGAAACAACCCAGACCGCCAGCUAAGGUCCCAAAGUCAUGGUUAAGUGGGAAACGAUGUGGGAAGGCCCAGACAGCCAGGAUGUUGGCUUAGAAGCAGCCAUCAUUUAAAGAAAGCGUAAUAGCUCACUGGUCGAGUCGGCCUGCGCGGAAGAUGUAACGGGGCUAAACCAUGCACCGAAGCUGCGGCAGCGACGUUUAUGCGUUGUUGGGUAGGGGAGCGUUC